AGAGUUUGAUCAUGGCUCAGGACGAACGCUGGCGGCGUGCUUAACACAUGCAAGUCGAGCGGAAAGGCCACUUCGGUGGUACUCGAGCGGCGAACGGGUGAGUAACACGUGAGUAAUCUGCCCCUGGCUUUGGGAUAGCCACCGGAAACGGUGAUUAAUACCGGAUACGACCACUUCUCGCAUGGGAUGGUGGUGGAAAGUUUUUCGGCCAGGGAUGUGCUCGCGGCCUAUCAGCUUGAUGGUGAGGUAAUGGCUCACCAUGGCUUCGACGGGUAGCCGGCCUGAGAGGGUGACCGGUCACACUGGGACUGAGACACGGCCCAGACUCCUACGGGAGGCAGCAGUGGGGAAUAUUGGACAAUGGGCGGAAGCCUGAUCCAGCAACGCCGCGUGAGGGAUGACGGCCUUCGGGUUGUAAACCUCUUUCGGUGGGGACGAAGCGCAAGUGACGGUACCCACUAAAGAAGCACCGGCCAACUACGUGCCAGCAGCCGCGGUAAUACGUAGGGUGCGAGCGUUGUCCGGAAUUAUUGGGCGUAAAGGGCUCGUAGGCGGUUUGUCGCGUCGGGAGUGAAAACCAGGUGCUUAACACCUGGCUUGCUUUCGAUACGGGCAGACUAGAGGUAUGCAGGGGAGAACGGAAUUCCUGGUGUAGCGGUGAAAUGCGCAGAUAUCAGGAGGAACACCGGUGGCGAAGGCGGUUCUCUGGGCAUGACCUGACGCUGAGGAGCGAAAGUGUGGGGAGCGAACAGGAUUAGAUACCCUGGUAGUCCACACCGUAAACGUUGGGCGCUAGGUGUGGGAUCCAUUCCACGGGUUCCGUGCCGCAGCUAACGCAUUAAGCGCCCCGCCUGGGGAGUACGGCCGCAAGGCUAAAACUCAAAGGAAUUGACGG
rnacentral:rRNA from 1 species